AGGUAUUUGCCCAGUAUCUUCAGUUCUGUGGGAUCGGUAUUAACAACGCCAGACUCUAUGAGAGAGCAACGUUAGAAAUAAGGAGAAAUCAGGUUCUACUGGAGCUAGCUAAGACCUUGUUCGAGGAACAGAGCACCCUAUCUAGCAUCGUCAGACGCAUCAUGGAGCUCCUGCUAUCGCUAUUACGGUGUGAGCGCUGUUCUAUUCUAAUGGUGGAUGAAUCGUCAAAGUAUGAAGAAGAAGAAUUAUCUGAACAGAGAGACACACACAUGCGUACACACCCUCUCACACAGGUAAAUUGCCCAUUCGUCCACUGCCAACUCGUCCACUCACCAUAUGGUCUACUUUCUUUUAGUCUAAUGCCAUUCCUUCCAUCAGCAUUUCGUCUAAUGCCAUUCCGUCCAUCAACAUUUCGUCUAACAACCAUUUGGUCCAAUCAUCACUUCGUCUAAUCACCAUCUAGUCUAUUACCAUUACUUCUUAUAACCAGUUGGUCUAAUACUCAUUUUCUUUUCCUUCAUUUUGCACAAUUAACACUUUAGUUUCAUUAGACCAAAUGGUAUAUGGACUAAAUGGCUAUUGGACCAACUGGUUAUUAGACGGAAUGGCAUGAGACUAAAUGAAAGUAGACCAUGUGGUGAGGAGACGAACUGAUGAUUGACCAAAUGGUAGUAGACGAGUUGGCAAUUGGACGAAUUAGACGAAUUGGAAAUAAACCCUCACACAAACACUAAAGAGAGGUGUUACUGGAUCCUCAACAGUUGAGUGAAAUGACAUCAUUUUACUUCAGGCUGCCUUAGCUGAUCUCCUGACUAUUCAAGUUGUCACUAUUACUCCCCUACUUUAUCACAAUUACCAAAUGAUUUUCCCCUAAAGCCUCCUGUCAUCAUUCUGUUUUUUUAUCCUUUCCAAGGCCUUUAAAGGGGCCUUAGAAAGGAUUUAACAAAAAAACAGACACAAAGUUUAAUGUAAAAUUGGUAGAAAAAAUAAUAAAGAUAUUAAAGGCUUGAAGAAAAGCGAAAGAUUCAAAAGGUUUUCAGAAUUUCGAUUUUUUUUUUUUGAAUUUGUGGCAUCAUAUGCGAGCAGCUUCCACAUAUAUUGUGCAAUUUAAAAAAAUCGAUGGAAUGAUAUUUUAUCAAAAAAUUGAUAAAUUAUUUCACUCCUGCUCCAGAAAGAAAAAAUAGUCAUUAUGAACAAUGAAAAAUAAUUGAAAUCUAGGCAUUUUAUAUGACUUAAAAAUAUAGGGUAGUUGCUCAUGAAUGACAUCAUAAAUCAAAGAAUUGAAAUUCUUAUAACUGAUGAAUUUUCUCAAAUCUUUACCAAUAGUUUAAAAUAAUUGUUCCUAACUUCCUAGUGUUUUUACAAUCUUUUUGCCAGGGUAUACUUCCCCUUUAAGAAGCACAUCUCCAUGUUACUCUUUUAAUAGACUAUCCAGUCAGAAGCAAGCUGUCAUGAAAAAUGUAUUUAGUGGUUUUCACUGACUGAUUUGCUGUCAGCCAAUCAGAUGCAAGGAUUUCAGUAGCUUAUAACAAUAGUGAAAAUCAUUGACUGAUUGUUUCAUGAAAUGCUCCCCUGGACGUUUUAGACAGCGUAUGUCAACGUACUGUACUUGUGGCCAGUCGUUUUCUUCCUUAAAGCAAAAGUUUAUAGAUGUUUGUUUGGCGUAGCCCGACUGAUCCUUGUUAAACCUGCCAAUAUACAUUUUUUUUUAUUCAAAUUUGAUCCCCCCCAAAAAAAAAUUAAAAUGUAAUAUUUUAAUAUUUAAUUUUCAUUGUUUUGCCUAUUUUUUUCUGGCAAAUGAGGCAAUAGAACAUCAUCCAUGGCAUGGGAAGAG